GGAAUAUUGCACAAUGGGCGAAAGCCUGAUGCAGCGACGCCGCGUGAGGGAUGACGGCCUUCGGGUUGUAAACCUCUUUCAGUAGGGAACAAGGCCAGGCAUUGUCUGGUUGAGGGUACUUGCAGAAGAAGCGCCGGCUAACUACGUGCCAGCAGCCGCGGUAAUACGUAGGGCGCAAGCGUUAUCCGGAAUUAUUGGGCGUAAAGAGCUCGUAGGCGGUUUGUCGCGUCUGCCGUGAAAGUCCGGGGCUCAACUCCGGAUCUGCGGUGGGUACGGGCAGACUAGAGUGAUGUAGGGGAGACUGGAAUUCCUGGUGUAGCGGUGAAAUGCGCAGAUAUCAGGAGGAACACCGAUGGCGAAGGCAGGUCUCUGGGCAUUAACUGACGCUGAGGAGCGAAAGCAUGGGGAGCGAACAGGAUUAGAUACCCCUG
rnacentral:rRNA from 1 species